rnacentral:rRNA from 1 species
UACGAAGGGUGCAAGCGUUACUCGGAAUUACUGGGCGUAAAGCGUGCGUAGGCGGUUUGUUAAGUCCGUUGUGAAAUCCCCGGGCUCAACCUGGGAACUGCAUCUGUGACUGCAUUGCUGGAGUGCGGCAGAGGGGGAUGGAAUUCCGCGUGUAGCAGUGAAAUGCGUAGAUAUGCGGAGGAACACCGAUGGCGAAGGCAAUCCCCUGGGCCUGCACUGACGCUCAUGCACGAAAGCGUGGGGAGCAAACAGG